GCAUAUCAAUAAGCGGAGGAAAAGAAACCAACAGGGAUUGCCUCAGUAACGGCGAGUGAAGCGGCAACAGCUCAAAUUUGAAAUCUGGCCCCCCGGGUCCGAGUUGUAAUUUGCAGAGGAUGCUUCGGGCGCGGCGUCGACCAAGUCCCCUGGAACGGGGCGCCAUAGAGGGUGAGAGCCCCGUCGGGUCGGCCGCCAAGCCUGUGUGAAGCUCCUUCGACGAGUCGAGUAGUUUGGGAAUGCUGCUCUAAACGGGAGGUAGACCCCUUCUAAAGCUAAAUAUUGGCCAGAGACCGAUAGCGCACAAGUAGAGUGAUCGAAAGAUGAAAAGCACUUUGAAAAGAGGGUUAAACAGUACGUGAAAUUGUUGAAAGGGAAGCGCUUGUGACCAGACGUGCGCCGGGUGUUCAGCGGGCGUUCUCGCCCGUGUACUCGCCCCGGCGCAGGCCAGCGUCGGUUCGGAUGGGGGGACAAAGGCCCCGGGAAUGUGGCUCCUCCGGGAGUGUUAUAGCCCGGGGCGUCAUGCCCCCGCCCGGACCGAGGUUCGCGCUCUGCAAGGACGCUGGCGUAAUGGUCCCCAGCGGCCCGUCUUGAAACACGGACCAAGGAGUCGAGGUUUUGCGCGAGUGUUUGGGUGUCAAACCCGCACGCGUAAUGAAAGUGAACGCAGGUGGGAGCUUCGGCGCACCACCGACCGAUCCUGAUGUUCUCGGAUGGAUUUGAGUAGGAGCGUAGGGCCUCGGACCCGAAAGAUGGUGAACUAUACGUGGAUAGGGUGAAGCCAGAGGAAACUCUGGUGGAGGCUCGCAGCGGUUCUGACGUGCAAAUCGAUCGUCAAAUCUGCGUAUGGGGGCGAAAGACUAAUCGAACCCAUCUU
rnacentral:rRNA from 1 species